rnacentral:tRNA from 1 species
GGUUGUGGCUCAGCGGUAGAGCACUUGCCUCACCUGCGUGAGGCACUGGGUUCGAUGCUCAGCACCA